rnacentral:rRNA from 1 species
AUGGCUGGUGUUCUAACGUGGGCCCCUGACCGGGGUUGCGGACAGUGUCUGGUGGGUAGUUUGACUGGGGCGGUCUCCUCCCAAAGAGUAACGGAGGAGCACGAAGGUUGGCUAAUCCUGGUCGGACAUCAGGAGGUUAGUGCAAUGGCAUAAGCCAGCUUGACUGCGAGCGUGACGGCGCGAGCAGGUGCGAAAGCAGGUCAUAGUGAUCCGGUGGUUCUGAAUGGAAGGGCCAUCGCUCAACGGAUAAAAGGUACUCCGGGGAUAACAGGCUGAUACCGCCCAAGAGUUCAUAUCGACGGCGGUGUUUGGCACCUCGAUGUCGGCUCAUCACAUCCUGGGGCUGAAGUAGGUCCCAAGGGUAUGGCUGUUCGCCAUUUAAAGUGGUACGCGAGCUGGGUUUAGAACGUCGUGAGACAGUUCGGUCCCUAUCUGCCGUGGGCGCUGGAAGAUUGAGGGGGGCUGCUCCUAGUACGAGAGGACCGGAGUGGACGCAUCACUGGUGUUCGGGUUGUCAUGCCAAUGGCACUGCCCGGUAGCUAAAUGCGGAAGAGAUAAGUGCUGAAAGCAUCUAAGCACGAAACUUGCCCCGAG